AGAGUUUGAUCCUGGCUCAGGACGAACGCUGGCGGUGUGCUUCACACAUGCAAGUCGAACGAGGUAGCAAUACCUAGUGGCGGACGGGUGAGUAACGCGUGGGAAUCUGCCUUUAGAUGGGGGAUAACGAGCCGAAAGGUUCGCUAAUACCGCAUAUGCCGCAAGGUGAAAGGAGUAAUCCGUCUAAAGAUGAGCCCGCGUCCGAUUAGCUAGUUGGUGGGGUAAAGGCCUACCAAGGCGACGAUCGGUAGCUGGUCUGAGAGGAUGAUCAGCCACAAUGGGACUGAGACACGGCCCAUACUCCUACGGGAGGCAGCAGUGGGGAAUUUUACGCAAUGGGGGAAACCCUGACGUAGCGACACCGCGUGAGCGAAGAAGCCCCUUGGGGUGUAAAGCUCUGUCAACAGGAACGAAACAAAUGACGGUACCUGUGGAGGAAGCAUCGGCUAACUACGUGCCAGCAGUCGCGGUAAGACGUAGGAUGCAAGCGUUGUCCGGAUUUAUUGGGCGUAAAGAGUUCGUAGGCGGUUUGUUAAGUCUGAUGUUAAAGACCGGGGCUCAACCUCGGAAAUGCAUUGGAUACUGGCAGACUGGAGUGCAGUAGAGGCUAGUGGAAUUCCCAGUGUAGCGGUGAAAUGCGUAGA
rnacentral:rRNA from 1 species